rnacentral:tRNA from 1 species
AAGGGUGAAUUAUAGCCUAGUGAACAUGACAUCUGCCCGGUAAGCGGAACAUUGUGGGUUCGAUUCCCAUCCCUGGACACUUUUA